rnacentral:rRNA from 1 species
UACGUAGGGGGCAAGCGUUGUUCGGAUUUACUGGGCGUAAAGCGCACGUAGGCGGAUCGAUCAGUCAGGGGUGAAAUCCCAGGGCUCAACCCUGGAACUGCCUUUGAUACUGUCGAUCUGGAGUAUGGAAGAGGUGAGUGGAAUUCCGAGUGUAGAGGUGAAAUUCGUAGAUAUUCGGAGGAACACCAGUGGCGAAGGCGGCUCACUGGUCCAUUACUGACGCUGAGGUGCGAAAGCGUGGGGAGCAAACAGG